rnacentral:rRNA from 1 species
CUGCACUUCGGGAUAAGCCUGGGAAACUGGGUCUAAUACCGGAUAGGACCACGGGAUGCAUGUCUUGUGGUGGAAAGCGCUUUAGCGGUGUGGGAUGAGCCCGCGGCCUAUCAGCUUGUUGGUGGGGUGACGGCCUACCAAGGCGACGACGGGUAGCCGGCCUGAGAGGGUGUCCGGCCACACUGGGACUGAGAUACGGCCCAGACUCCUACGGGAGGCAGCAGUGGGGAAUAUUGCACAAUGGGCGCAAGCCUGAUGCAGCGACGCCGCGUGGGGGAUGACGGCCUUCGGGUUGUAAACCUCUUUCACCAUCGACGAAGGUCCGGGUUCUCUCGGAUUGACGGUAGGUGGAGAAGAAGCACCGGCCAACUACGUGCCAGCAGCCGCGGUAAUACGUAGGGUGCGAGCGUUGUCCGGAAUUACUGGGCGUAAAGAGCUCGUAGGUGGUUUGUCGCGUUGUUCGUGAAAUCUCACGGCUUAACUGUGAGCGUGCGGGCGAUACGGGCAGACUAGAGUACUGCAGGGGAGACUGGAAUUCCUGGUGUAGCGGUGGAAUGCGCAGAUAUCAGGAGGAACACCGGUGGCGAAGGCGGGUCUCUGGGCAGUAACUGACGCUGAGGAGCGAAAGCGUGGGGAGCGAACAGGAUUAGAUACCCUGGUAGUCCACGCCGUAA